AUGGCAGUCACAUCCCCAUCUGCCCGCAUUCCCAUCCUCCUCCUAGUGCUAGCACUCUCAACCAUGCCUGCUUCUUCUUUUUCGAGACCGGCUCCAGCCAAUGGCAGCGACACAGACAUCGCCGCGCUGCUGGCUUUCAAAGCCCGGCUCACCGACCCUGCCGGUGUCCUCGCCAACAACUGGACCGGCACGUCUUUCUGCCACUGGGUCGGCGUCUCGUGCAGCCACCGCCGGCAGCGCGUCACCGCUCUCUCCUUCUCUGAAACGCCGCUUUUUGGAUCGUUGGUGCCUCACCUUGGUAACCUCUCUUUCCUCUCCUUCCUUCAAAUUAUCCAUGCUAACCUCACGGGCUCCAUCCCACCCCAACUUGGCAGGCUACACCGGCUUAGAUACCUUCGCCUUAAAGGAAAUGGACUUUCAGAUGACAUUCCUACUACCCUAGGUAACCUCACAAGGCUUGACUUCCUUAGUCUAAGUUAUAACCAACUCACGGGCCAAAUACCUCCCAAUUUAUUUAUCCAUAUGCGGGCACUUGACAUACUUUCGCUGGCUGGAAAUGAAUUGCGUGGCCAAAUACCACCCUAUCUAUUCAACAACACGCAUUCCUUGACAGCCAUCGACUUUGGUGACAAUUAUCUCUCGGGUCAGAUACCAUCCUAUCUAUUCCACAACACACCUUACUUGACAGACAUAUACUUUGGUAUUAAUAGUCUCUCUGGUCAGAUCCCAACCGCUCUUAGCAAUAUCACCAAUCUCACUCUUUUAGACCUCUCCUUCUCCAAUCUCACUGGACACAUACCGGCAGAGUUCGGACUAAUGCAAAAACUCACCGACCUAUAUCUUGGAUCCAAUCAACUUACCGGUACGAUUCAAGCUUCCCUCGGAAAUUUAACCAACCUGCAUAUCCUAGCUUUGGAAGCAAAUAAAUUAUCAGGCUCGGUACCACCAACGCUUGGGAACAUUGCAACUUUAGAGUUUCUUAAUCUUCCAAAGAACAAUUUAGAGGGAAACAUGGAAUUCCUUUCGGCUCUUUCCAAUUGCAGAAACCUCCAACAAAUUGGCUUAGGGGCCAAUUCUUUCGCAGGCUACCUCCCUGAAUAUAUGGGAAACCUCUCUUCACGAUUAGUCACCUUCGAUGCAGGUUACAACAAGUUAAUAGGUGGACUUCCUGUAGCAAUCUCAAACAUAAGCAGCCUUGAAUUGUUAGCUCUUCCUAAUAACCAACUCAGCGAGCCGAUUCCAAAAUCCAUCGCCAUGAUGAAAAAUCUCACGUGGCUUGAUCUCUCUAGCAAUGAAAUUUUAGGCACUAUCCCAACUGAAAUGGGCAUGCUUGGGAGUCUACAACAAGUGUUUCUCCAAGGAAACAAAUUCCUUGGCUCUAUACCAAGCACCUUCGGUAAUCUUAGUAGGUUAGAGAAAAUCGACUUGUCUAAUAAUCAACUAAGUUCAAUGAUACCUGCAAGUCUAUUCCGCCUUGUCAAGCUUAUCAUACUCGAUCUUUCCUGCAAUUCUUUUGAUGGAGCACUACCGACGGACGUUUCUGGGCUAAUACAAACAUACAAAAUGGACAUUUCUUCUAAUUUCUUGAUUGGAAGCAUCCCAAAAUCAAUUGGAAAACUCAAGAUGCUAGCAUACCUAAAUCUAUCCCACAACUCGUUCGGAGGCCCCAUACCAGAACCACUUCAAAAGCUAACUAGCUUAGCUUCAUUAGACCUCUCCUUCAACAACAUCUCUGGUACCAUUCCUACGUUCCUUGCAAACUUUACCGACUUGACUACCUUGAACCUCUCAUUCAACAUGUUGGAAGGCCAAAUACCAGAGGGGGGUGUUUUUUCAAACCUCUCGUUGCAGUCUUUGAUCGGGAAUGCUGGACUAUGUGGCGCUCCACACCUAGGAUAUUUGCCAUGUGUUAACAAAUAUCAUUCAAGUAGUAGACACCCGCUAAAAUUUCUACUCCCAAUUGCCACCGUAGCUCUUGGAAGUAUUGCUAUUUCCUUAUACCUAUCGACCAGAAAGAAACUGAAGAACAAGGAGGACAUAAAAAUUUCUUUAGAUUCAACUGAUGGCAUAGGCCACCGAAUAGUCUCCUGCCGAGAGCUCAUUCGUGCCACAAAUAAUUUCAACGAAGAUAACAUUUUGGGAUCUGGAAGCUUUGGAAAGGUCUUCAAGGGCGAGCUGAAUGGUUUGAUGGUGGCAAUAAAAGUUCUUGACAUGCAGCUGGAGCAAGCCAUGAGAAGCUUUGAUGCCGAGUGUCGUGUGCUUCGCAUGGCGCGGCACCGCAACCUGAUACGGAUACUCAACACCUGUUCCAACCUAGACUUUAGAGCACUUGUGCUUCAAUACAUGCCAAAUGGCAGCUUAGAGAAGCUGUUACACCAGUCUCAGAGCACAGUGCACUUGGGGUUCCUCGAGAGGCUUGACAUCAUGCUUGAUGUGUCGAUGGCAAUGGAGUAUCUACACCAUGAUCACUAUGAGGUGAUUUUGCACUGUGACUUGAAGCCGAGCAAUGUGUUGUUUGAUGAGGAAAUGACUGCUCAUGUGGCGGAUUUCGGCAUUGCGAGGCUUCUUCUAGGCGAUGACAACUCCAUGAUUUGUGCGAGCAUGCCCGGAACAGUUGGCUACAUGGCACCAGAGUAUGGAUCUCUUGGAAAAGCAUCACGGAAGAGCGACGUGUUCAGCUAUGGGAUCAUGCUCCUUGAAGUUUUUACGGGAAGAAGACCCAUAGAUGCAAUGUUUGGGGGAGAACUAACUCUUAGGAAGUGGGUACACCGUGCAUUCCCCAUGGAGCUUCUUCAUGUCGUCGAUGACCAGCUACUUCAAGGCCAGGCCUCUUCUCCUAGCUGCAACUUGCAUGAAGGAUUCAUCGUGCCGGUAUUCGAGCUAGGUUUGCUCUGCUCUAGCCACUCGCCAGACCAGAGGAUGAUGAUGAGCGACGUGACCGUGAGGUUGAAGAAGAUCAAAGUGGAGUACAACAAAAGGACAGCCACGCCAUGGCGUGUCCUAGCACGGUGA
rnacentral:rRNA from 1 species